GAUGGAAGAACGCAGCGAAAUGCGAUAAGUAAUGUGAAUUGCAGAAUUCAGUGAAUCAUCGAAUCUUUGAACGCACCUUGCGCCCUUUGGCCAUUCCGAAGGGCAUGCCUGUUUGAGUAUCAUGAACACCUCAACUCUCAUGGCUCGCCAUGAUGAGCUUGGAUUUGGGGGUCUUGCUGGCCUGUGGUCGGCUCCUCUCAAAUGGAUCAGCUUGCCAGUGUUUGGUGGCAUCACAGGUGUGAUAACUAUCUGCGCUUGUGGUUUUCCAUCAGAUAACCUUCAGUGAUGGAGGUUCGCUGGAGCUCAUAAACGUCUCCCCUAAGCGGGGACAGCCCUUUGAAUGUUUGAUCUCAAAUCAGGUAGGACUACCCGCUGAACUUAAGCAUAUCAAUAAGCGGAGGA
rnacentral:misc_RNA from 1 species